rnacentral:lncRNA from 1 species
UUUUUCUGAGUUUUUUAAAUUUUAAUUAUUUUCUAUUAGGAGGACUCCCAUUUAUCAAACCAAAGGUGAUCUCCCUGUUGCAGGAGGGAGAAGAUCCCUGGAAGGUAGAGAAAGAAAACCCUGGAGGCACCUCUCUUGGUGAGUGGGUGGCACAAAAUAUUACCAUAUGUUACUAUUUAUGUUUAAAGAAUAUUAUGUGUUUGUGAAAUAUGCAAAUAAGCACAGAGAGGAAUCGCUGCAGGUAUCAGUCUGGUUCAGAGGAAGGUGCAGCUUGGAGUGUGUUAAUUGGGAAACUUCCUUUAGGGUUCUCAGGCCUCAAAAAGUUGAUGGGGAAGGGAAAGCCCAGGCCCCUAGACAUGUGCUUCUGCUUCUUUGCUCAUAAUCACUUCACAAAAUGAAUCUCUCUAGAGCUCUUUUUAUUCUUUCCUGUUAUUUCUGAAAAGGGCUGCAUUUUAUGUAUUCACUCAAUAAACAGUGUAAUUUAAGGGAUUAUAAAUAAUUCAUUCUAGCUGAAGCUGCAGGUAUGAAAAAGACAAGGAAGAAAAUGAGAUGGGAGGCUGUCUAAGGGCCACACUGUAAGUGCUUUGGUACGGUUCUAAGAGAUUUGAACUGUUCCAUGGAUGACCAGAAAUAUUUGAAGAAUUUAAGCAGAAGAACUUUUUAAUCCCUGAUAUUUUAGAAAAAUUGGUCUGAAUCAGAAACAAAUGUUCCUUAAUAAAGGAAUGGCUAAAGAAACAAUGAUGUGUCCUUACUCUGGCAAAUGUUGCCACAGUUUAGAAAGAAAGAACACCCUAAUGUGGAUGGAGCUGCAAGGCACAUCAAGGAAUAAAGCAAGUUACAAAAUAUCACCAUAUGUUACUAUUUAUAUUUAAAGAAUAUUAGGUGUUUGUGAAAUAUGCAAAUAAGCACUGAGAGGAAGGUUUGGAAAACACACAGAGUUACAAGGACACACCUUAACUGGUAACAGCAAUUACUCUUGGAAUGAAUCUAAUAAAAGGGGACUUUGUUUCCAUGUAAUGUUUUAAUUUUCACAAAGAGAAUAUGUUCACGAAGUUCUCUUAAUUAGAAGUUAAUAAGAAUGGUCACUUAGGAGGCAUUAUUGAAGUGAGGCAAAACUAGAGUUGGAAGCCUCACAGAAUUCAUGGGAUUCCAGGCAGGAAGCCAGUGGGCCUGGACUAGAGGCACCUGCUGUGAGGAUCAGGGGGCAGAGGAGGAGUCAGCUUGAUAAGGGAGUCUGAGGAAUUCAGUGUGGAAUGGUUUUCAUUUGAGAUGUGAGUAACAUACAUGGGUAGAGGUUACAGAUGGGCAGUUGUGUAAGGGAGACAGACUGGAUGGCACUCCAAGUAGAGGGCAGGGAACCCUCAGUUCAAAGGGGUAAUUGCCACCUUGAGUUGACCAGGUAAAGGAACAGAGCAGAAAACAGAAUCCUAGGAAACCAACAUUUGAGAGAUGGUUAAGAGAGAAAGGACUUUGUGAACAAACCUGAGGUUAAAUUAUCAGAAGAAAGAAACAGAAGAAGUGGUUGUCAUCCAAGAAAGGCUGGGGAUCUGAGUUUGUGGAGGCAUAGGAAGUGGUGUCAGGGAAGGUCUGGAGAAAGGUCAGUGUCAAGCAAGAAGAGUAGAAGAAACUGCAGAAGACAGCAGUGGAAACAGAUCCUGCUGAGCCCUGGCCCUGUCACAGGAUUUGGUCUGAGAAUU